rnacentral:rRNA from 1 species
AAAUAUUAGUCAAUGCUCGAAAGAGUGAACUAGCUAACUGAAAUCAAUUUAAAAUUGAUAACAUAAGGGAAAAUAAUGAUAUUACCUUAUUAUUAGUGUCGUCCAAAACUGGUGCCAGAAGACUCGGUAAGGCCAGAGACACAAACGUUAAUCGUCUUAAUCAGGCGUAAAGGGUUUGUAGGCGGCUUUUAAUUUACUUAUAAAAAUUUUAUUUUAAAGAUAAAAUAAGUUAAGAAUAAAAGCUAGAAUCAAAUAGAGGAUAUAUCAAAUAAUGCUUAGAGUAGGUCUGAUAUCCAUAGAUACUAAGUAGAAUAUUAAAGGCGAAAGCUUUUUUCCAUAAAUGAUUGACGCUCAGAAACGAAGGUGAGGAUAGGAAAUAGGAUUAGAUACCCAAAAUACCCCUCUCUGUAAACGAUGAAUGGUAAUUAUUAAUAAUAAAUUUAUUAUUAAUGAUAAUGUUAACACGAUAACCAUUCCGCCUUGUGAGUACAACUGUAAAGUUGAAAACAAAAAAAUUAGUCGGUUUCGGAGCAAACGAAGUGAAGCAUGUUAUUUAAUUC